AGUCCAUGUUGAGGGCAUUCUUAGAGUAAGUCUUUGAAUCUCUCCAUGAGUUUGAAGAAUGAUUCAUUUAGCUUUUGCCUAAAUUGAAGAAUGUCAUUUUCUGAUUUU
rnacentral:snoRNA from 1 species